GAAAAUCAUGAGAUUUUUGUCGCCCUUGCAGACUUGCGCAUCAAAAAAUGGAUGCUUGGUGGUGAUUGACUCUCUUUCUGAUUC